rnacentral:rRNA from 1 species
ACGAACGCUGGCGGCGUGCUUCACACAUGCCAGUCGAACGGAAAGGCCCUGCUUUUGUGGGGUGCUCGAGUGGCGAACGGGUGAGUAACACGUGAGUAACCUGCCCUUGACUUUGGGAUAACUUCAGGAAACUGGGGCUAAUACCGGAUAGGAGCUCCUGCUGCAUGGUGGGGGUUGGAAAGUUUCGGCGGUUGGGGAUGGACUCGCGGCUUAUCAGCUUGUUGGUGGGGUAGUGGCUUACCAAGGCUUUGACGGGUAGCCGGCCUGAGAGGGUGACCGGCCACAUUGGGACUGAGAUACGGCCCAGACUCCUACGGGAGGCAGCAGUGGGGAAUAUUGCACAAUGGGCGGAAGCCUGAUGCAGCAACGCCGCGUGCGGGAUGACGGCCUUCGGGUUGUAAACCGCUUUCGCCUGUGACGAAGCGUGAGUGACGGUAAUGGGUAAAGAAGCACCGGCUAACUACG